rnacentral:rRNA from 1 species
UACGAAGGGGGCUAGCGUUGUUCGGAAUUACUGGGCGUAAAGCGCGCGCAGGCGGUCCUUCAAGUCAGAGGUGAAAGCCCAGGGCUCAACCCUGGAAUGGCCUUUGAGACUAGAGGACUAGGGUACGGGAGAGGUGAGUGGAAUUCCGAGUGUAGAGGUGAAAUUCGUAGAUAUUCGGAAGAACACCAGUGGCGAAGGCGGCUCACUGGACUGGUAUUGACGCUGAGGUGCGAAAGCGUGGGGAGCAAACAGG